rnacentral:rRNA from 1 species
UACGUAGGGGUCUAGCGUUGUCCGGAAUUAUUGGGCGUAAAGAGCUCGUAGGCGGUUCGGCAAGUCGGAUGUGAAAUCUCCACGCUUAACGUGGAGGGGCCAUUCGAAACUGCCGUGACUCGAGUCCGGUAGGGGAGUUCGGAAUUCCCGGUGUAGCGGUGAAAUGCGCAGAUAUCGGGAGGAACACCUGUGGCGAAAGCGGCUCACUGGACCACAACUGACGCUGAGGCGCGAAAGCUAGGGGAGCAAACAGG